GGCCUCUGAGUAUGAGCAGCAGAAACGGAUGGGGGAGGGGAGGCAGAAACAAACUCCGUACACACAGCCAGGCCCUUCCGCAGCCGACCGACUAGUACACAACUUUGCAACACUAUUUGCCUACUAAAAUUUGGUAGUAACAGUCUUGUCCCAUCGCUGCAACUACCGUCCGGACUCGGGAGAGGCGAAGGUCGAGAGCCGGGCGUCCUCCGAAACACAACCCCGCCAAGCCGCACUGCUUCUUGACACAAUGCUCGCUUAACCCGGAAGCCAGCAGCACCGUACAGCUGGUGACCGUGUCGGUGUGCACUGGGCCCGGCCCGCCACAGGAGUCGCUAGAGUGCGAUGGGACAAGGACAACCCGGCCGGCCUAACCCGGACAAUGCUGGGCCAAUUGUGCGCCACCUCAUGGGUCUCCUAGUCGCAGCCGGCUGCGACACAGCCUGGGAUCAAGCAGUGCCUUAGACCACUGUGCCACUCGGGAUGCGCAGCAUUAGUCUCCCCAAAUAGUGUGUCCAUUUAAUUUAACAUCCAUAACACUUCUUAAUAUCUUUAUUUCUCCAACAUGCCAAUAUUUAGAAGUCCACUUUUAGGGGAUGUACACUCACCCCAAGGGGUACUAUAGACACACACAUGAAACGUUUCAUUUAUAUUUUGUUUGUCCCUUCUGUGAGACAUUAAAGUUGUGAUUUUUCAUGCAAA